UACGAAGGGGGCUAGCGUUGCUCGGAAUCACUGGGCGUAAAGCGCACGUAGGCGGCUUUUUAAGUCAGGGGUGAAAUCCUGGAGCUCAACUCCAGAACUGCCUUUGAUACUGAGAAGCUUGAGUCCGGGAGAGGUGAGUGGAACUGCGAGUGUAGAGGUAAAAUUCGUAGAUAUUCGCAAGAACACCAGUGGCGAAGGCGGCUCACUGGCCCGGUACUGACGCUGAGGUGCGAAAGCGUGGGGAGCAAACAGG
rnacentral:rRNA from 1 species